rnacentral:rRNA from 1 species
GAUGAACGCUGGCGGCGUGUCUAAUACAUGCAAGUCGAGCGAAUGGAUUAAGAGCUUGCUCUUAUGAAGUUAGCGGCGGACGGGUGAGUAACACGUGGGUAACCUGCCCAUAAGACUGGGAUAACUCCGGGAAACCGGGGCUAAUACCGGAUAACAUUUUGAACCGCAUGCUUCGAAAUUGAAAGGCGGCUUCGGCUGUCACUUAUGGAUGGACCCGCGUCGCAUUAGCUAGUUGGUGAGGUAACGGCUCACCAAGGCAACGAUGCGUAGCCGACCUGAGAGGGUGAUCGGCCACACUGGGACUGAGACACGGCCCAGACUCCUACGGGAGGCAGCAGUAGGGAAUCUUCCGCAAUGGACGAAAGUCUGACGGAGCAACGCCGCGUGAGUGAUGAAGGCUUUCGGGUCGUAAAACUCUGUUGUUAGGGAAGAACAAGUGCUAGUUGACUAAGCUGGCACCUUGACGGUACCUAACCAGAAAGCCACGGCUAACUACGUGCCAGCCGCCGCAGUAA